GUUUUAUCCAAAGCUUUUUCUGUGUUGAGAUCUUUCAAAAUAAAAAAAAUUUAAGUAAUAAAAGUAACUAAAACCCCAGUAGUCAGUUAAAAUGUAAAAGUGUUUGUUGGGACAGGUGUUGCUCCGGUCGGCUGUUUGCGCCCAGGGUAUUUUUAGAGAAUCCAGUGCUAUUUUUACAGUGCGUUGUACACAAUAAUGUCAAGGAUCUAAUCUCAGCAACUGCAUUACAACAGGGAUUUGACAGCUCUUGAGAUGAUGAUGAAACAACAUCAAGAGCUAAAAGGCAAAAUAGAUGGCCGCAGCAAGACCAUACAGCAGUGUGCAGAUCUUGGCAAGAUCUUGAUAGCUGCAGGAGAUUCGGCAUCAGAGGAGGUUAGCAAAAUCCUGUCAUGAAUUAAUCCAUGCUGUAUCUUACACUUAUUACAAAUGCAUACAUUUAGACACAUAUGUUGUGCAGUAUAUAGGAUCUGUAGUUUGGACAAUUGACUAAUCUAUCCCAACAGAUUAAAGAGAAGCUGGAAAGUCUCCAGGCCAAACAAAGAGAUCUUCUUGAAAAGUGGGGAAAACAUGAGGAAAAAUUGCAGAAGAGUGAGUAUUAUCAGAUGAUCACUAUUUUCUAGAAUCAGCAUGAUUAAACUGGUGAAACAAAAAAAAAAUACUGGUGAAAUUACUGUCAAGUAAUAACUUUCUACCAAAGUGUUCAUUGAUGUAAUCAGAAGUGUGUUGAAUGCCUGAUGUCCACUCCAGAGAAGGAAAGAUUCCACUUUUCCCAGGAGACAGUAAAGGCUGAAGUCUGGUUGAAGGCCAAGGAGCCACUGAUCACUUCUGAUGAGCAAGAGAGAGAAGCACAAAGCCAAAAAGAUGAAGUCGAGCAACUCAUCCUUCGUCAUAAGGCCUUCCGCAAGGCUGCUGUAACCUGGAAAGAACGCUUCAGUUCGCUCCGAAAACUUUCCACAACUGAGAACAAACAAGGGGGAGAGACUACACCAUCAUUCUCCAGCCAGAGGAUGCUCCCAUUAUCCUGUCUAACUCCCAGUGUUCCGUCAAGCAGUUCUUCCUCAUUGUUCUUGAGGCAUGUGGCACAAGCACAAAUUGAGGCCAAGACCAAUUUAGAUCUAAGUACCACAUCUGUAACCCAGAGACUGUGUUCAUCUCCAGCGAGCUACAACUCACCAAUAAAUGAUUCGGGCUAUGCUGGACUGGGACAACACUGCAGUGGGAAGCUCGUUACCUCAACAUACGUUGGAAUGAACCACGAAGCCGCUGGAGGUGACAGUGAUACUGCAUUCUCGGUGAUAACCUCCCAUCGUGAUGGUGUGAACACGUCAUCGUAUCUCACAAUAAACCCUCCAACUAGUGGCAGUGUAGACAGCUCUGGAGACUUUGGCCUGACAGCUGGGUCUGUGGGUAGAAUGCAACACCAUCCGGGUGAUGGAAGGUUAGAAAGUCCAGUUAACCUUGCUCAGCAAUCAAGCGGCACAGGAGGAAUUCCUACUUACCUGCAUCAACCAAAGAUGGGUAAUUCUGGAUAUUUGGGUCAACCUCAACAUAUACGAUGUUCUGGAUAUGUGGACCAACAAUCCAUUUUAGGGGACACUGUCAAUUUAACACAACACCAGAAUAUGGUGGAUUCUGGCUACCUAGGGCAAAUUUAUCCAAGUAGUGGGGGUACGUCUGCCACAGACUACCUACCCCGAAGUCAUUUUGGCAGUGGUCUGAUCAGCUCUGGUUACCUAACACAGAGUGGUGGCAUACUGGAGCCUAAAAUGGCAUAUACAUGGCAGAAUCUGAAAUCUGACUUUACACAGCCUAAGAUCAACAACCUGCACAAGGCUGUCAACCCUCUUCUACAUGUUAGUACAAUGCAAAGGGAACACUAUGGAGAAACCCCACUGGCGAACAUGAUAGGGCCAGAAACAGGGCUAGAACUCCUUCAUGGCCGUCUCCAGAGGGAUCCUCGAGGCAGUCGUUCUGAUCCUCAGAUGGACCAUCUCAGGCAAGAGAGAGAGUACAAACUGGGUAGACAGACCUCUAGUGAACAGGAGAUCCAAGCCAGGCUGAAUGAGCUUCCGAUGAUUGUGCGUCAAGAACGCUAUCGGAGGCAUUUGGAGCGACAGUCUUCAAGUGAAAAAGAGGGAAGCAGUAAGCAGAGAUUGCAAAGGCAGGACUCAAGUGACCUUGAGGCAUCUAUCAAAACUGGCUCUGACAAACACACAAGUGACAAGAGAACAACCAUGGCAGAGAUUGUAGAACAAGUCCAGGAGAGAGAAGCAGCACAUGUGCGUAAGACUGGCACAAUAAAGGAGCCCAUUGUGCAAUGUUACCGGUCUUUUGUCGUGAACUUUCCUUCUGUUUAUUUAGUCAAGAGGAGAAAUGUAUCGACCUUCUAGCAGCCUCUCAGCACCCGUUACUCGUUUUGAUGGGCGACCCCGUGCAAGAGACCGUCCAAAGCCAAGGAGGAGGCCCCGCCCAAAAGAGCCUGAGGAGGCACGGCGGUCACGCUCAGCUCCAGCUACUGGUGCCCCAACAACACCGCAGCCACCUUCACAUACUGCCCAGAAUGAAGGUUUCCUUUACCGCAAGAAAGUCACCACCUCUGACCUGGAAGGUCAACAGAGGAGCCCAAACAG
rnacentral:lncRNA from 1 species